rnacentral:rRNA from 1 species
UAGAGCACUGAAUGGAUGAGGGCCCUUCACCGGGUACCAAGUUCAAUCAAACUCCGAAUGCCGCAACACAAUGCGCGGGAGUCAGACUACGGCUGAUAAGGGCCGUGGUCGAGAGGGAAAGAGCCCAGACCGUCGGCUAAGGUCCCCAAGAUACGCCAAGUGGGAAAGGAAGUUCGAUUGCAAAGACAGCCAGGAGGUUGGCUCAGAAGCAGCCACUCCUUCAAAGAGUGCGUAAUAGCUCACUGGUCGAGUAGUCGUGCGCCGAUAAUGUAACGGGGCUAAGCACGCCACCGAAGCCGCGGGACGCAGACUUGUUCUGCGUCGGUAGGAGAGCAUUGCGUAUGCGGACGAAGCGGGACCCGCGAGGGCCCGUGGACGCGGCGCAAGAGAGAAUGCAGGCAUGAGUAACGAAAAGACGGGUGGGAUCCCCGUCCGCCUGAAGCCCGAGGUUUCCAGGGUAAAGGCAAUCUGCCCGAGGGUCAGUCGGCCCCUAAGGCGAGGGCGAGAGCCGUAGCCGAUGGGAAGCGGGUCAACAUUCCCGCACCUCCCGGAGAUUCGACGGGACGACGCAUAGGGCGAAGCGCAGCCGGGCGACGGUAGUCCCGGCCGAAACGGCGAGCUUUUGAGGGUCCCAGGCAAAUCCGGGUCCCUGAGGCGAGCCGCGAGCGAGGCCCCCCACGGGGGGAGGAAGUGCGCCGAGUCGUCGUGCCGAGAAAUAGUCCCUAAGGUUCGUCUCCGGGGGACCGUACCGCAAACCGACACAGGUGGGCGAGCUGAGAAUGCGCAGGCGCUCGGAAGAAUCCGCGUUAAGGAACUCGGCAAAAUGCAUACGUAACUUCGGGAUAAGUAUGGCCCUUCGGGGCUGCAGAGAAACGGCCCAUGCGACUGUUUACCAAAAACACAGGUCCAUGCGAACCGGCAACGGGAAGUAUAUGGACUGACACCUGCCCGGUGCUGGAAGGUCAAGGGGAGCCGUCAGGCAACGAAGCGGCGAACCCAAGCCCCAGUAAACGGCGGCCGUAACUAUAACGGUCCUAAGGUAGCGAAAUUCCUUGUCGGGUAAGUUCCGACCCGCACGAAUGGUGCAACGACAUGGGCGCUGUCUCAACGUGGAAUCCGGUGAAAUUGAAGUCAGGUGAAGAUGCCUGUACCCGUGGUCAGACGGAAAGACCCCGUGAACCUUUACUUCACCCUGGCAUUGGGAGCUGGGUCAGGGAUGUGUAGGAUAGGUGGGAGGCACCGACGCGUGGGCGUCAGCCUGCGCCGAGCCGCCUGUGAAAUACCACCCUUGCCUGUCCAUCUCUCUAACGCGGGCCGUGAGCCGGCCCGCGCACAGUGCCGGGCGGGAAGUUUGACUGGGGCGGUCGCCUCCCAAAGGGUAACGGAGGCGCGCGAAGGUCGCCUUAGGAUGGUUGGGAAUCAUCCGGCAAGCGCAAAGGCACAAGGCGGCUUGACUGCGAGGCCGACAAGCCGAGCAGGUACGAAAGUAGGUCUUAGUGAUCUGGCGGUAGCGAGUGGAAGCGCCGUCACUUAACGGAUAAAAGGUACUCCGGGGAUAACAGGCUGAUCUUGCCCAAGAGUUCAUAUCGACGGCAAGGUUUGGCACCUCGAUGUCGGCUCAUCGCAUCCUGGGGCUGGAGCAGGUCCCAAGGGUUUGGCUGUUCGCCAAUUAAAGCGGUACGUGAGCUGGGUUCAGAACGUCGUGAGACAGUUCGGUCCCUAUCUGCCAUGGGCGCAGGAUGGGUGAGGGGAUCUGCUUCCAGUACGAGAGGACCGAAGUGGACGGACCUCUGGUGUACCGGUUGUCGCGCCAGCGGCAGGCGCCGGGUAGCCACGUCCGGACGGGAUAACCGCUGAAAGCAUCUAAGCGGGAAGCCCACCCCAAGAUGACCCAUCCCAUCCGCACAAGCGGACACAAGGAAACAGGCAGACUACCUGUUCGAUAGGCCGGGGGUGU